GACAGAGGGUGCAAACGUUGCUCGGAAUCACUGGGCGUAAAGGGCGUGUAGGCGGAUAGAUAAGUCGGGCGUGAAAUCCCCAGGCUCAACCUGGGAACUGCACUCGAAACUGUUUAUCUUGAGUGCCGGAGAGGAAAGCGGAAUUCCUGGUGUAGAGGUGAAAUUCGUAGAUAUUAGGAAGAACACCAGUGGCGAAGGCGGCCCACUGGUCCGGUACUGACGCUGAGGUGCGAAAGCGUGGGGAGCAAACAGG
rnacentral:rRNA from 1 species